GAUGAACGCUGGCGGCGUGCCUAAUACAUGCAAGUCGAGCGAACGGACGAGAAGCUUGCUUCUCUGAUGUUGGCGGCGGACGGGUGAGUAACACGUGGAUAACCUACCUAUAAGACUGGGAUAACUUCGGGAAACCGGAGCUAAUACCGGAUAAUAUUUUGAACCGCAUGGUUCAAAAGUGAAAGACGGUCUUGCUGUCACUUAUAGAUGGAUCCGCGCUGCAUUAGCUAGUUGGUAAGGUAACGGCCUACCAAGGCAACGAUGCAUAGCCGACCUGAGAGGGUGAUCGGCCACACUGGAACUGAGACACGGUCCAGACUCCUACGGGAGGCAGCAGUAGGGAAUCUUCCGCAAUGGGCGAAAGCCUGACGGAGCAACGCCGCGUGAGUGAUGAAGGUCUUCGGAUCGUAAAACUCUGUUAUUAGGGAAGAACAUAUGUGUAAGUAACUGUGCACAUCUUGACGGUACCUAAUCAGAAAGCCACGGCUAACUACGUG
rnacentral:rRNA from 1 species